rnacentral:miRNA from 1 species
GUGAAUGUGCUUCUGGUCAUGUU